CACAGCCUGACUCAAUUCCCCAGUUGCUUCUGCAGAAAAAACAGUAAAAAAAGAGUGAUAUUUUAAAACAAGGCUUUGUUCUUGCAAGCUGAACAGUUCAACACAGAACAGACAGAAUCAAUACAUCUGGAGGACAGAGUGUGUGUACAGGACAUACCUACAGGAGCCAAGAUGCCAUCCCUUUUGCAGCUGAUUUGAAGCUGGUGGUCUCCGAAUGAGAAAUUGGCUCCCCCUCCUGCUGAUAUCAGUGAGUGGAGAGAGCCAAGAGCUACUGCCCCUCACAGGGAAAAAGAUCCUGAUAACCAGGUGACAAGUGAAACCCUGCCUUUGGAAAAGGAAACAUCUCUUAUCAGCUGUUUCAUGCCUUUGCUGAAUUCUUGCAAGAGGCUUGAAUAUGACUGGGUUUUUCCCCUAGGGUGGAGGAAUGCUGUUAUUUAAACACUGCGGUACCAUUGCACAUCUUCACAUCCUUUGCAGCUUGAGGCAGUGAACAGGAAAAUGUCAUAUCACAGACACUGGGAUGUUCUUCCUCUCACUUUAGUACAGUUCUCCUGCGAAGCAGUCUGGUGAAAUGAAAACUCACAGAGUUUUGAAUCAUUGAAAUUCAUGAGGUUUAACCAGACCAAGUGUUGGAGCUGCACCUGGGUCAGAACAGCCCCUGGGAUCAAUCCAGGCUGGGGAUGAGCAGAGGGAGCAGCCCUGGCAGAAGACCUGGGUGCUGUGGGUGAGAGCUGGCCCUGCCCCAACGCAGAGCCCCCCUGUGCUGGGCUGCACCCAGAGCCCCAGGGCAGCAGGGCAGGGGGGAUUCUGCCCCUCUGCCCCUCUCUGCUGAGCCCCCCUGCAGGGCUGCAUCCAGCCCUGGGCCCAGCACAGCAAGGACAGGGAGCUGCUGGAGC